AGACUCUUCUCUGUGAGAGGCCUUCUUGUAAUUUGGAGCUUUCUGCAUACCAGGUUUCCAGACACGAGCUGUGCUCUUAUAACUGUAAUUAUCUUUCAUCUUUAAUAUUGUAGGUUAGUGUAGGUUAAUUAUCUGAUGCAGACUACACAGAAUAUAAUGUGUGCUCUGUCACUGUCACUUCAACUGCCAUGGCUAUAGUAGUGGGUUUCUCAUUCAUGUGACUGGGGAGCUGCAGGCAGGGAAAGAGAUUAAACAUUCAUAUUUCAUCCAAAAUACUUGAUGUGCUAUCAGUUUUAGAGCUUGUAGCUGAACUAAUGUGAUUAGAAAGGUAAGCAAAGUUAGGUACAACCAAACUAGGGAUAUCUGUUAAAAAGUGCACCUAAAUAAUUUAUUAUACAUUAACAUUUUUCAUUCAUCUGUUUCUAUUCUGCAGCGUGUAUUUUCUUUGACAGAAAAGAGCUUGCUGGGAUUUCCAAUCCAUUAUGCCUGGCAGAGGAAUUUAGGAAAUUACAUUGCAGUUACAGGGGAUCAGAUGUCUUUCUUGCUGUGGUCAAAGGCUGGGUCAUUCUUAGCUGUUGGGACAUCCAAAGGAAGUUUGUUGAUUUAUAACUUCAGACCUCUCGCAAGGUGCCUGUGCUUGGUAAGCACAACAAACGGGUCACAUGUGGGUGCUGGAGCUCACAAAAUCUGCUAGCACUUGGUAGCGAGGACAAAAUGAUAACUGUUAGCAAUCAAGAAGGAGACACAAUUCGACAGACCUCUGUGAGGAUGGAUCCCAGUGAUACCCAGUUCUCAGCAGGCGAAAAGCACAGGGUCAUUUACAAAAUCCCUGGACAUGAAUGCUAAAGCACUAAGGGGCCCAAUUCAAGAAGCCUUCCCCAGCUCACCCCUUAUGACUACACAGCUGCCAGACACAAGUUUUUUUUGUAAAAGAACAUGUGAAAAAUUGGGUGGGGGGGCAACGGUGGCUUGCAUGAGUGUUUUAUACUUUGCACUCUGCUUGGCUAAUGACGCCUUAUUUCCCCCUUUCCCAUGUACCAUUGUCUUUCUCUUAACCAGCCCCUAUCAUGUUAUUGCUUCUUUUAUCUUAUCUGCACCUUCCACCCCCUUAUGGAUAUCUGCAAUAGGAUUAAAAAUUGGCCAAUUACAGGCCACUAGCUAUGACCACCUCUUCCCCCUGUGUGGAAAAUGGUGAAAAUAACGUGAAAAUGCGGAAAGAAUCUGAGUGUACAGUUGUUAGAUGCAGGAUGUAGUUUGUGAUGUCACUAGAGGGGUACCACUAGUGGCUUAGAUUGGCCAAAGAUGGAAAAUUGGCUGAUCACAGGCCGCUAGCUAUGCCCACCCCUAUCCCCCCCUCUGGUGACAUCACAGAUGAUGAUAACGUCUGGAGAAGGAAGGUUGUGCUGUGUGAAAAUGGUAAAAAUAAAGGGAAAAUGCUGAAAGAAUCUGUUAGAUGUAGGAUGUAGUUUGCGAUGUCACUAGAGGGGUACCGCUAGUGGCUUGGAUUGGCCAAAGAUGGAAAAUUGGCUGAUCACAGGCCACUAGCUUUGCCCACCCCUAUCCCCCCCUCUGGUGACAUCACAGAUGAUGAUAACGUCUGGAGAAGGAAGGUUGUGCUGUGUGAAAAUGGUAAAAAUAAAGGGAAAAUGCUGAAAGAAUCUGUUAGAUGUAGGAUGUAGUUUGAGAUGUCACUAGAGGGGUACCGCUAGUGGCUUGGAUUGGCCAAAGAUGGAAAAUUGGCUGAUCACAGGCCACUAGCUUUGCCCACCCCUAUCCCCCCCUCUGGUGACAUCACAGAUGAUAAGGUCUGGAAGAAGAAGGAUGUGUUGUGUGGAAAAUGGUGAAAAUAAAGGGAAAAUGCGGAAAGAAUCUGAGUCUACAGUUGUUAGAUGUAGUUUGUAAUUUCACUGGAAGGGUACUGCUAGUGACUUGGAUUGGCCUAAAGAUGGAAAAUUAGCCAAUCACUGGCCACAUCAGAGACGAUAAUAAGGUCUGAAGGAAGCACGUGUCUGCAGUUGUUAGAUGUAGGAUGUAGUUUGAUGUCACUAGAGGGGUACCGCUAGUGGCUUGGAUUGGCCUAUAGAUGGAAAAUUAGCCAAUCGCAGGCCACUAGCUAUGCCCGCCCCUAU